rnacentral:misc_RNA from 1 species
AGCAGAACAAUGAUUAUGGUGAACUUCAGAAACAAAAGAAAAGCACCCACCAUAAUUAGCUAAAAGAUACCUCUAACCUUGUAUCUCAGAAUUAACACGAGUGGGUAAAUCUCUAUGUAUUCUCUCCACACCUAUCCAAGUUUCUGUUUAACUUAAAAAACACCACCUAAAAUAAGUCUUACUAACCAAGGCAGUCAGUGGAAAAUAGUCAA